rnacentral:lncRNA from 7 species
GCGCGCUCCCCUGCUACCGGGCCGCGCUGCCCACUCCCCAUCCCCGCCUCUCUCCUCGCAACAGAACCAAGCAUCUCCACACGUCGCCAUCGACACGUACGCGAGUGCCACGCCGGAGGUCGACGGAGCAAGCUAGGCAGAGGCCGUUCGAGCACGGCCGGCGCCCGCGUCCCACGGUGCAUCUCCGGCUGCGGCGAACCGGACCAUGGGCGCGGACCGUGUGGGUCAAGGUCUCGAGUCAGGUUGACUCGAUAGAUAAAGAUUCUUUCUCUUCUGACUCGAGACCAAGAUCAGGUUGAUUCGAGAGACAAAGAUUUUUUUCUCCUCUGACGAGACAAAGAUUCUUUCUCCUCGUCCAGAUAGUGAUGUCUGGACGAUGAAAGGGACAGUUUGGUGGAUCCAUGAAGUUUGCUAAAAAAAAGUAGAGUUAUGUCGAGAGUUAUCACGAGUUCUCGUAUACCGUUAGCCUGUUCGAGAUCUCGGCGAAAAAGUGUAUUAGGUGGGAUAAAGUGUGUUGGGUAGGAAAUGAUCAACUUUUCUGGAUACUUUGGUUACUCACUUAGAUCAAGUGAAGAAUAAGUUCGUUAUAUUAAUCACCGUGGUCUUUAUAUAAAGACGACAAACUAUGUAAUCCCACUCGCCAAGUAAAACAACUGAGCCAAAUGUUUAGAGAAGACACAUCCUUUAAAGCAUCAUAUAAGAUGAUGUUUCUUUAUUCUCUC